AUUGAACGCUGGCGGCAGGCCUAACACAUGCAAGUCGAGCGGAUGAAGGGAGCUUGCGUCUGGAUUCAGCGGCGGACGGGUGAGUAAUGCCUAGGAAUCUGCCUCGUAGUGGGGGAUAACGUCCGGAAACGGGCGCUAAUACCGCAUACGUCCUGCGGGAGCAAGUGGGGGAUCUUCGGACCUCACGCUAUCAGAUGAGCCUAGGUCGGAUUAGCUAGUUGGUGGGGUAAAGGCCUACCAAGGCGACGAUCCGUAACUGGUCUGAGAGGAUGAUCAGUCACACUGGAACUGGGACACGGUCCAGACUCCUACGGGAGGCAGCAGUGGGGAAUAUUGGACAAUGGGCGAAAGCCUGAUCCAGCCAUGCCGCGUGUGUGAAGAAGGUCUUCGGAUUGUAAAGCACUUUAAGUUGGGAGGAAGGGCAGUAAGUUAAGACCUUGCUGUCUUGACGGUACCAACAGAAUAAGCACCGGCUAACUUCGUG
rnacentral:rRNA from 1 species